rnacentral:lncRNA from 1 species
AAGGGCCUCUUUUGAUCGACCCUUUUCUCUCUCUUUCCCUUCAUCUGUUCUAGGGUUUUUGUUCUUACAUUUCUGCCUUAGCUCACAGAUCUUCGAGUUGACAUGGUAUCAAACAAGAAAAUAUGACUCCUCUUAUCCCGAGCUUCACUCCGAUCUUACCCUCUCUCUGAGUUUCCAUUGAUUCGAUCUUCGAUUUAUCCAGAAUAACAAAAAUGUCGAACUAUAUUUUCCACCGGUAAUUAUUGGGGAUUUCAUCAUCGGUUGACUCCUAGUACCUUCAUGAUGCAGAACAUAUCGAAUUUUCUCAAUCUCCGCACAUGAUUUGGUUAAAUAUGUUUCCUAGGGUUUAUGCUUCAGAGAAGACUUUUCUUCUUCGAGUUUCAGAAGAAGGCUGGUAAUUUCCUUCUCAUUAAAUGGCUUAGAUUUGAAUACAUGUCUUGACCUAUGUUCAGAAAAACUUCUUCUUUUGUUGCGCUGUAGAUAUUAUUGCAUAUAUUUGUUCUGAUUCAAUUUAGUUGAGUUUCAUGUUAUGGAUAGCAUUAUGGAUAAUCUAGGAUCACCUAGUAACAUAUCUUAUGAUGGUAUCAUACCUUUUACACUAUUUCCAUCUAAUGCACUGUAUGUUCACCCUUCUGAUAGUCAUGGUAGUCAAUUGGUAGUUGUACCUUUCAAUAGGCGUGGUUUUGUUCUUUGGAGAAGUAGUAUUCUUACUUCUCUAUCUGCAAAGAACUAAGUUAGGGCUUUUAGAGGGUAGAGAUCCCCAACCCUCAUUAGACUCCCCUUAUUAUUCGUACUGGGAAGAGGUGCAAUGACAUGGUUAAGGCAUCGAUCACUAACUUUCUGUCUUGGGAUAUUGCAACAGGUGUCAGGUGUCUUAAGACUCUCAGGGAAUUUUAGAAAGAUAUUAACGAUAGAUUGGGUCAGUCAAAUGGAUUCAAAUGUCUUCAAAUUCAAAUACAAUUAGCACAACCACUCAAAGCUAUUCUGAUAUUGCCACAUACUUCACCAAAUUUAGGAGUCUAUGGGAUGAAUUAGAUUCCUCUUAUGUGGGUCCCUGACUGUUCAUAUGGAGCUCUUCCAACUAGUUCCUCAAUAGUCUGAAUGAGUCGGACUCCACUGUGAAGUAUGCCAUCAUGAUGCGGAACCCUUUUCCUCCAAUAAGCAAGGCUUAUUCCCUAUCACAACAAGAUGAGAGUCAAAGGAAGCUCUCUCCAAAAUUUCUAACUUCUACGGUGAUUCUGCUUCUUUUUCUAUGUCACCUACUCAAUUAACCAAUAAUAGGAAUUUUACUCAAAGAGUAAAUUAUGAAUCCAGAAAUGAAUGUCAAUGGUGUCUUUUUAAAAUAUUGUAAGAAACCUGGGCACAUAAUUGAAAAAUGUCACAGACUUCAUGGGUUUCUCCUUCAGUUCAAGUUCACAAAGAAUAAGAAGUCUGCAUCGUGUGUCCAAGGUGACAUAUCUCCUGCUAUCAAUCAGCUUCCAGGGAUUCUUCUCCAAUUCAUAGGUUUACCAAAGAACAAUAUCAGCACCUCUUGACUAUGUUUCAACAAGUUUAAGUCUCUUCUGGUCCUGUUUCCAACACUCCUUCUAUUCAGGACUUCGAUUUUGCUCAUUUUACAGGUUUGUUUACUGCUUAUGCUGUAGAAACUGUAGACUCUCGUGUGUAUGCAUUGUCACAUGCUAAUGUGGAUCAUUGGAUCUUAGAUUCUGGGGAAACUAGUCACAUAACCCCACACAAACCCUUACUUCAUGAUAUGUACAUUUAGUUAGACCUUUCCUUGUUAACUUACCAAAUGGUUAUAAAGUAAAGGUUAUAUCAACUGGGUCCUUGCACCUGAGACAUGAUAUAACCCUUCUUAUUGUACUUCUUGUACCUUCUUUUCAUUUCAAUGUAAUAUCUACACAUCAACUCAUUACCCAACUUGACUUACCAGGUUCCAUUGUUCUUUACAAGGUCCUUCUCUGAAGAGGUCACUCGUAAUUGGUAAGGCUGUUGGCAGACUCUACUACCUACAUCCAGAUGCAGAAGUAUUUCCCUCUUCAACCCUUUCUCCAUGCUACUACAUCUUGUAUACAUUCUAGUCUUACUAUAUGUUCAAUUACUUGUAAUAUGCCUG